rnacentral:rRNA from 1 species
AUUGAACGCUGGCGGCAUGCUUUACACAUGCAAGUCGAACGGUAACAGGUUAAGCUGACGAGUGGCGAACGGGUGAGUAAUGCAUCGGAACGUGCCCGGUCGUGGGGGAUAACGCAGCGAAAGCUGCGCUAAUACCGCAUACGAUCUGAGGAUGAAAGCGGGGGACCGUAAGGCCUCGCGCGAUCGGAGCGGCCGAUGUCAGAUUAGGUAGUUGGUGGGGUAAAGGCUCACCAAGCCGACGAUCUGUAGCUGGUCUGAGAGGACGACCAGCCACACUGGGACUGAGAAACGGCCCAGACUCCUACGGGAGGCAGCAGUGGGGAAUUUUGGACAAUGGGCGCAAGCCUGAUCCAGCAAUGCCGCGUGCAGGAAGAAGGCCUUCGGGUUGUAAACUGCUUUUGUACGGAGCGAAAAGGCUCUCUCUAAUACAGGGGGCUCAUGACGGUACCGUAAGAAUAAGCACCGGCUAACUACGUGCCAGCCGCCGCGGUAAAAC